rnacentral:rRNA from 1 species
AUGGGCGCAAGCCUGAUGCAGCGACGCCGCGUGAGGGAUGACGGCCUUCGGGUUGUAAACCUCUUUCAGCAGGGACGAAGCGUGAGUGACGGUACCUGCAGAAGAAGCACCGGCCAACUACGUGCCAGCAGCCGCGGUAAUACGUAGGGUGCAAGCGUUGUCCGGAAUUACUGGGCGUAAAGAGCUCGUAGGCGGUUUGUCGCGUCGUCUGUGAAAACCAGCAGCUCAACUGUUGGCUUGCAGGCGAUACGGGCAGACUUGAGUAUUUCAGGGGAGACUGGAAUUCCUGGUGUAGCGGUGAAAUGCGCAGAUAUCAGGAGGAACACCGGUGGCGAAGGCGGGUCUCUGGGAAAUAACUGACGCUGAGGAGCGAAAGCGUGGGUAGCGAACAGGAUUAGAUACCCUGGUAGUCCACGCCGUAAACGGUGGGCGUCUAGGUGUGGGUUUCCUUCCACGGGAUCCGUGCCGUAGCUAACGCAUUAAGCGCCCCGCCUGGGGAGUACGGCCG